UACGUAGGUGGCAAGCGUUGUCCGGAUUUAUUGGGCGUAAAGCGAGCGCAGGCGGUUCCUUAAGUCUGAUGUGAAAGCCCACGGCUCAACCGUGGAAGAUCAUUGGAAACUGGGGAACUUGAGUGCAGAAGAGGAGAGUGGAAUUCCAUGUGUAGCGGUGAAAUGCGUAGAUAUAUGGAGGAACACCAGUGGCGAAGGCGACUCUCUGGUCUGUAACUGACGCUGAGGCUCGAAAGCGUGGGGAGCAAACAGGAUUAGA
rnacentral:rRNA from 1 species